CUUUACAAUAACGUUCCAUUUGUAAAGGGUUUAUGAAGGGUUUGUAAUUACAAUUACAACGGUUAUUUAAUCAAUUGUCAAUGCAUUAUAAACCAUUAAAAAAUGGGUUAUAACAAAUUUCUCAAAUUACUGUGAUAGCCAGUCAGUGCUUGCCACAUAGUGAGCCACUAUUUACCUCCAGCUAAUAACCAUUUAUAAAUGCAUAAUGUGCGCAUAAUAUUGAACCCUUAUGUAUCAUCAUGGAACCUUACUUUCAAUUGUUAUUUUCUAACUUUUGUGUGUUUGCAUUGUUGCUCUGUCCCAGGAACAGAAAUGGUUGGUUUUCAGACCAAUGGUCAACUCCCAUGAUGUGUCUUGCCCCAUGUUUGAAACCCUGAUGAUGCAUUGGUACACUUACUUAUUACAGAAAUUAACGCUCAAGGUUUCAAUACAUAUUAUUGGUGUGAUUCAUAGGUUUCUGAAAAAUUGUGAAACGUGCUUGAAAUAAAGACGACCUGGAACGUGCCCAGAAUGUUGAAUUGACACUUACAUCAUGUGACAGUGCAUCGUAAAUAAUCAGGAUGAACGUGGCUAUGAGAAGUGUUCAAAGUCCAGACAAGAGAUUGCGUGACAAAAACGUUGUUCAAAGGAUACAGGGUAGAGAGGGUCUGACUCAAGAAUGGGGAAAUGCUUAACAAGAAAGAAACGGAUGAAAACCGAACAGAAGGUGUUUGAAUGUUAAAUGACGAGACAGAGGCGUUGAUGCGAGUAACCAGUCUUGUUCCGUAUAUUGCAAUACAUCCGGGUAUUUCAAGCACACCGGUAAAAAACACUGGAGUUGCAGUAAUUAACAUUUACCAACAGAUGGCAUCACUGUGCCAUCUUACACCCAUAACAGAAGGGGCCAUGGGGCGCUGUGUUGUAUUUUAAAUAGUUAAAUCUAUUAUCAAUUUCUAUUGUGACUUGUAAUGUUAAAAAAAGGUAGAGAAAAAUAACUCCUGUUUAUCUGAAUUAGUUAGGCUCACAUUGAUAGGCUACACAGAUUUGAGUCACUGCAAUUAAAUUGUUUUCCCAAUGUAUCCUUCAAUUCAAUAGUUUUCACUAUGUAUUGCAUGUUUGAGAUUAUAUACUAUUAAACAUGUUUGUAACUUAAUAUUAAUAAAUGGCCAGGAGGUUUCCAGUUUUAAGCUAUAUUUUUUAAAGUUAUAAAUAUUGGUAGGCUUAACUCAAUAAAUGGUCAGUAGGUUUUGACUUUCUUUAAAGGUUAUAGAUCUGUCAUUGAAAGCAAGUGUAAGAA
rnacentral:lncRNA from 1 species